GCAGUGGCUGGAGGAGGCACUGCAGGAAGCUGCCUGGAACUAAGACAUGGGAACCGGAAGCGACGGACCUUCUUCAUAGGAUGAAACCUAGAUAUCGAGCAGCAAUAGACUAUGAAGACAUGAUGGUCCUCACAGCCAUUUAGAUGUCCACACUUAAGCAUUAUUCAGUUGACUCCAUUAGAUAGCAACGGGAUUAGGUUGGAUGUACUCCUGGAGGUUUCACCAUUUCGCCUCAAGCUGCCCCCUCCAAUCAAGCAGUCUUCAGUUCCACCUCUGUAAUUUUAAAAACUGAAGUACGAGAAGAAAAUAAACAAAAAGACACUUCCUUUAAUGCUCUUACUGUUUUGCCUUGGUUUGGGGUCUUGUUUGGGGUUUCUUUAGGGUCUACCAAUAUGUUAUCCUAAGAAUACUACCAUAAACUGUUAUUUGUAGAAA